AUGUCAACCCCAUUUUUGAGGUACCUUGCAAUGGUUAUGGAUGUUUUUGCUAUAAUUUGUAUGAUUGCUGGGAGAGAUAUGAGCCUUGAUGUCUUUGGUCUAAGUUCCAAUUGGACCCUCAUGUGCAACGAAGAUCUCUACAUAUUUUAUCUGCAUCGACACCCUGCUGCCAUUGCUCAACAGGAACUUUUUCUGCCAGGUGCAGCUCAUGUCUCCCAACAAUUCUCUUCUACAUAUCACCAUGUGGAGAUCAUUGUUAAUGCUAAGUAG